rnacentral:lncRNA from 1 species
UCUCCUUGCAGGUGGUUUUGUCCUUUUGGACCAAUUAUCUAACCUGGGCCUGGACUCCAUCUACCACUGUCCUGCCUGGUUCACUGCAGCUCACUUCAUCUUCCUGUGCCUUCUCUGAAAGGGCCCCUCCAAAAGUUUCCUGGAAACUCUCAAACAACUGAGAAGGUGCCUCGACAUCUGAUUUGCCCCAAACCUCUAUACACUGGACAUCUUCUGAAUAAGGCUGUGUUGUAUGUUGGGACAAGCAAAGGGAUGGAAAUCAAGAAUUCUGGGUUUUAGUCCUGACUGUCACUACAUGGCUGUGUUACUUCUGACUCUGUGAAGCAGAACUCGGGCCUCUAGCGUCUGCUAGUCUAGAUCUAAAGGUGUUUCCUGAGGGACAGUUUGGCCUGGCAUGCAGGUACCUCUGCAGACCACAACAGUGCACCGAAAACACCCCCUCCCAGCACGCACACAAGUCUGGCUCCUCAGCCAAACAUCAAACACCAACACUGCUGCCCAUGCCAGAUGCCAAGUGAGAUAAUGUGUGUUAUACCCUUAGUGUGUUACAAAGAGAAAAGAUUAAUAAAUGUUAGCUAUCCUUAUCUUCAUUAUCU